UUGAGGUGCUUAUCAUUAUUAUAUGUGGCUAGUUAUGCUGAUCAGAUUAAUUAUCUUUGUCACCAUUCAUACUUUAUCUAUAUUUUAUGUGACAUUUAUCCCUGUAUGAAAGAGAUAGAUAAAUGAUCUCUAUUAUACAUGCAAUGAUAGAUACUCAAUUCCAUAUUUCAUUCCAUAAUCAACAUUGAUGAUUAGCAAUCCCUUCCCAGUGGUAAAAAUAUAAAUAACGAUACCUAGAAUACUUCCCGAUUAAAAUGCUACAUCGGUAUUAAUCUGUGCGCUUGCAGAUCUCAUUUAUUAUUCAUUCAGAAGAGCAAUUGCAUAUUUCAAUACCGCGUCUCUCAUGUCAUGCUGG
rnacentral:lncRNA from 1 species